UACGAAGGGGGCUAGCGUUGUUCGGAAUUACUGGGCGUAAAGCGUAUGUAGGCGGACCUUUAAGUCAGGGGUGAAAUCCCGAGGCUCAACCUCGGAACUGCCUUUGAUACUGGGGAUCUUGAGUCCGGGAGAGGUUAGUGGAACUGCGAGUGUAGAGGUGAAAUUCGUAGAUAUUCGCAAGAACACCAGUGGCGAAGGCGGCUAACUGGCCCGGUACUGACGCUGAAAUACGAAAGCGUGGGGAGCAAACAGG
rnacentral:rRNA from 1 species